UCCCUGGAGCGAACAGCUGUGUAUGAGAGAGAGUGUGUGUGGACUAAGCAUUAUUCAUCAGGGGGUUCGCAUCUCUGCGAGUGAGUUGUUUAGCUCAGCCAUCUGAAGGGCUGGUACAAAGAAUAUUCCUCCUGCUUACUUCAUCUCUCUCUCUCCUCUAUCUUCGGAAGAGGACUGCAUCUAAAGCUGAUACUACCGGGGUAAAGUCUGUGGGUAGAAAACGGUCUGACACGGGGGAUACUCUAAGCGAUACGUCUGGUGACAUCACAGACAUGGAUGCAGAACCAGACAGUGAUGUAGAGCAGGACUUGGACCAGAUGCUGGGAACAUGGCUCGGGGAACUGGAAACAAUUACACAGUCAAUUGAUGCAGACAUACAUGUAGGUCAGCAGAGCCAACCAGCCCCUCUGCCUCCCCAUCAGUCAACCCUUGGCUCAUUAGACAACUUCAGCUUCUCAGCUUUCCAGCUAGCUCGUAAGUUUCUGUUCUUAAUAUAUAGGCUUCCUUU